UUCGAGAAUGUUCUCGAAACGUCCCAACGGGCGCCGAGCUCGCGACCUGUUUACAAUUGUUGGUUUUUUGGGUAGCUGACUCACGAGCCUAUGGUCACGGCAAAAACGACGGAUUUGGCCUAAUGAUCGGAACCGCCUAAGGUCGAUAGAUCUAUAAUUAGCUCGUGUUUGAGUAAACACGGUUUCUUGUGUAGCGGAUUUGCUGGGCAAAAACCAUGAUGACUUUUGUCGACAAGUACCGCUACAAAGGAUUAAGUUUUGAAAGUAUCAACAGCAAACUUAACGAUACUGGUAACAACGUUUAGACGAUAUCAAAAGCAGAUUAUUUGAACUUCAUAAGAAUUUUCCUAAUAUUUAACAAGCAAUAUCUGUUCGUUGAGAUAAGAAAUGGAAUUUCAAGAUUCGCCGGCACUUUUGAAACCUAUGGAUGAUUUUUCGUUACACCGUCGGUCGUUUGCAACUAUACGAAGUUUAUCGGGCGCAGUUGCAAGAAAUACAGACGUUAGAAGCAAUGAAACCGCAAUUAUAUUUCCGUUGGGCGAUAGAGAACACAGUCAUAAUUGAGUCGUCGCUGUGGUUAUCGCGUGUAGAUAAAUAUCUCGUUUAAUUGGUCGGCUUCCGCGCCAGGAAUUUUCUAUCCUGCACGUUUCUCGAUUCUCUCUUCGCAUCUCUGGAAGCCAGCUUUUAAUUGACCGUACACGUGUCCGCGGACUGUUCGCACAGAGGAUUAACACUGUACGACGUGCAUAAUGUAACGAACAAUCUCUGGACAAAGCAAUUUCGCUGCUACGUGCAACCUACCAUCGGCGACAAGUUCAAACCUUCCGGUUCCCCGUCCCGACCAGUAUAAAUGGACGACCAAGUUCUCCACGAAUCAGUAGUAGUGCGAAUGAAUAUCAAUAUCAAGUCAAUAAGUCAGUCAGUUGAGCGAACUAGUAUAACGAAACAAUCUUAUAACGAGUAUCAUCAAGCGAACAACGCUUGCGAUUAACUUUGUAUUCUACACUUUGAAAUACCUGUAAAUAUAGUGAGUUAAAUUAA
rnacentral:lncRNA from 1 species